rnacentral:lncRNA from 1 species
GGGCUGCGGACAGGCUGGCAGCGGCGCGCGCGGGCUCCUCGGGCGGGCUCCAUGGCUGCGCCGCGGGCGGCACCAUCUCCGUGGCUCGCUCGUCACUCUCUCGCUCCAGGAGUGCGGCAGGCUGCGAGGUAGUUCUUACGUCUUUAAGGAAAUCAGCAGUACCUAAAGAAUGUCACCAGAAUCGUCCUGAUGGAGGCAGGAACACGAGGCUGAGAAGAAGAUCUUAAGACCCAUGGGCAAAGCAAGGAAAGAGAGCAUGGACUGAGGGACCAUACCAUACCCUCCUUCUCCAUGUCAUCUGUGUGGCCUGGCUGAAGCUCCUAAAUCAUGGUGAUGAAAAACAUCAAGGACUUGUUUUUAUUUCCAUUGACCCCAUUUUAAUUAAAAAUCUG